UUAGUAGGACACUGGUGAAGCAGGGAAGCCUCGAAGAUCCAGGAUGAAGUGUGCACAUUUUAAUGGAAAAGAUUUUUAACCUGGCCUGGUUUUGCUUUUAAAAUAAACUGAGGAUGUUGGAGGGAGGACUCAUUCUUAUUGGGAUGUGAGUGGAUGUGCUGGAAGGCAGGAAAACAAACACUGGACUGGAGACUCUCUGUGCCCCUGACAAGGAAACUGGACCAGUUUUGGGGAAGUUCCAGCUCCCAGGAUGUGAUGUGGAGACCCAGCCUCGAACGAAGUCAGGCCUGAAAAGGCUAACAACCCUGACCGCGGUGGCUUUGGGCCUUGGAUUCCUGGCCAGAGUUGUGUCUUCAGCCAGUAGUUUUACCCGGAGAAAGAACAAAUAAAUCUUGUGUAACCCA